rnacentral:rRNA from 2 species
ACCCGCUAAUACAUGCAAGUCGAGCGGACAGAUGGGAGCUUGCUCCCUGAUGUUAGCGGCGGACGGGNNNGUAACACGUGGGUAACCUGCCUGUAAGACUGGGAUAACUUCGGGAAACCGGGGCUAAUACCGGAUGGUUGUUUGAACCGCAUGGUUCAGACAUAAAAGGUGGCUUCGGCUACCACUUACAGAUGGACCCGCGGCGCAUUAGCUAGUUGGUGAGGUAACGGCUCACCAAGGCGACGAUGCGUAGCCGACCUGAGAGGGUGAUCGGCCACACUGGGACUGAGACACGGCCCAGACUCCUACGGGAGGCAGCAGUAGGGAAUCUUCCGCAAUGGACGAAAGUCUGACGGAGCAACGCCGCGUGAGUGAUGAAGGUUUUCGGAUCGUAAAGCUCUGUUGUUAGGGAAGAACAAGUGCCGUUCAAAUAGGGCGGCACCUUGACGGUACCUAACCAGAAAGCCACGGCUAACUACGUGCCAGCAGCCGCGGUAAUACGUAGGUGGCAAGCGUUGUCCGGAAUUAUUGGGCGUAAAGGGCUCGCAGGCGGUUUCUUAAGUCUGAUGUGAAAGCCCCCGGCUCAACCGGGGAGGGUCAUUGGAAACUGGGGAACUUGAGUGCAGAAGAGGAGAGUGGAAUUCCACCUGUACCGGUGAAAUGCGUAGACAUGUNNAGG